UGCCAGCCGCCGCGGUAAUACGGAGGGUGCAAGCGUUAAUCGGAAUUACUGGGCGUAAAGCGCGCGUAGGUGGUUUGAUAAGCGAGAUGUGAAAGCCCCGGGCUUAACCUGGGAACGGCAUUUCGAACUGUCAGGCUAGAGUAUGGUAGAGGGUAGUGGAAUUUCCUGUGUAGCGGUGAAAUGCGUAGAUAUAGGAAGGAACACCAGUGGCGAAGGCGGCUUACUGGGCAUGAACUGACGCUGAGGCACGAAAGCGUGGGGAGCGAACAGGAUUAGAUA
rnacentral:rRNA from 1 species